rnacentral:rRNA from 1 species
AUUGAACGCUGGCGGCAUGCUUUACACAUGCAAGUCGAACGGUAACAGGCCGCAAGGUGCUGACGAGUGGCGAACGGGUGAGUAAUGCAUCGGAACGUGCCCAGUCGUGGGGGAUAAGGCAGCGAAAGCUGCGCUAAUACAGCAUACGAUCUAUGGAUGAAAGCGGGGGACCGGAAGGCCACGUGCGGUUGGAGCGGCCGAUGUCAGAUUAGGUAGUGGGUGGGGUAAAGGCUCACCAAGCCAACGAUAUGUAGCUGGUCUGAGAGGACGACCAGCCACACUGGGACUGGGACACGGCCCAGACUCCUACGGGAGGCAGCAGUGGGGAAUUUUGGACAAUGGGCGCAAGCCUGAUCCAGCAAUGCCGCGUGCAGGAAGAAGGCCUUCGGGUUGUAAACUGCUUUUGUACGGAACGAAACGGCUCUGGUUAAUACCUGGGGCUAAUGACGGUACCGUAAGAAUAAGCACCGGCUAACUACGUGCCAGCCGCCGCAGUAACAC